UGGCGAACGGGUGAGUAACGCGUGAGUAACCUGCCCUGGAGUGGGGGACAACAGUUGGAAACGACUGCUAAUACCGCAUAAGCCCACGGCCCGGCAUCGGGCUGCGGGAAAAGGAUUUAUUCGCUUCAGGAUGGACUCGCGUCCAAUUAGCUGGUUGGUGAGGUAACGGCCCACCAAGGCGACGAUUGGUAGCCGGACUGAGAGGUUGAACGGCCACAUUGGGACUGAGACACGGCCCAG
rnacentral:rRNA from 1 species